AGUGAACGCUGGCGGUAGGCCUAACACAUGCAAGUCGAACGGCAGCACAGUAAGAGCUUGCUCUUACGGGUGGCGAGUGGCGGACGGGUGAGGAAUACAUCGGAAUCUACUUUUUCGUGGGGGAUAACGUAGGGAAACUUACGCUAAUACCGCAUACGACCUACGGGUGAAAGCAGGGGAUCUUCGGACCUUGCGCGAUUGAAUGAGCCGAUGUCGGAUUAGCUAGUUGGCGGGGUAACGGCCCACCAAGGCGACGAUCCGUAGCUGGUCUGAGAGGAUGAUCAGCCACACUGGAACUGAGACACGGUCCAGACUCCUACGGGAGGCAGCAGUGGGGAAUAUUGGACAAUGGGCGCAAGCCUGAUCCAGCCAUACCGCGUGGGUGAAGAAGGCCUUCGGGUUGUAAAGCCCUUUUGUUGGGAAAGAAAAGCAGCAGGUUAAUACCCCGCUGUUCUGACGGUACCCAAAGAAUAAGCACCGGCUAACUUCGUG
rnacentral:rRNA from 1 species